AUCAUUUCCCAUUGCAUCGGGAUACUUUCGUUUAAGGAAUUACAUAAUAAACUAGUGUGCAUACCUUACUCUAUAUACGUGUAAGCUACGCAGUUUGGUAUUUGAUUUAAGGAUACGUAGAACUGCGGUGAGUUUUCCUUGUGGUCUAUUAUAUUACAAUACACAGGUUGUAUAAGUAGCAACUGAGUAUAGGUAUUGUAUUAACUGGGUUAU